rnacentral:rRNA from 1 species
GACGAACGCUGGCGGCGUGCUUAACACAUGCAAGUCGAGCGGAAAGGCCCUUCGGGGUACUCGAUCGGCGAACGGGCGAGUAACACGUGAAUAACUUGCCCCCCACUCUGGGAUAACGCUCUGACAUGGGGGCAAAUACCGUAUACGACACAGCUUCGCUUGGGGGCUGUGUUCAAAGGUUUGCGGCUUGGGAUAGGCUCGCUGCCUAUGAGCUCGUUGGUCGGUUGCUGGCUUACCAAGUCACCGCCGGGUAGCCGACCUGAGAGUGGGACCGGCGACACUAGGACUGAGACACGGCGCAGACUGCAACGGGAGGCAGCGGUGGGGAGUAUUGCACAGUGGACGGAAGCCUGAGGCAGCGACGCCGCGUGAGGAAUGACGGCCUUCGGGUUGUGAACCUCUGUCAGCAGGGACGAGGCGUAAGUGACGGUACCUGCAGAGGAAGCGCCGGCUAACUACGUG